CUAAUCAAUCUGGGCUUCCGUAAUUGUUAAAAUAUGCUGGAGUGAACCAGUCAUGGGAUGGGAAGCAUCUGAUCACGUCAUUACUCUGUGAUAACUAUCAUGUUCACAAACUUGUUUGAGUGUUAGCACCACAGCCUCUUCACUGGUAACUCCAUCACAAUGGCUCAACGGUGUGCUGCAGUGUAUCGAAGGGUGGCAGCCUCUAGAGAAGGUACACCAACACACUCAAGGACACCAUCUCGCAGUACCUCAAGGGAAGCUCUGAAUUAUGAUUCUGUGGCAGAUGAAACUAGUAACAGUCAUAGGGUUUAUAAUGAUUGCCAUGUUCUGAUGAAUGGUAACAGGAGUAGCAGUUACCUUGCACCCCUUCAAGAUGAAAGGAAUGGUCAAAGAGAAUGGUAUAGCUCCAGUAGCAAUCUUACUUCCACAGAUUCUACACCAAGCUCA